AGUGAACGCUGGCGGUAGGCCUAACACAUGCAAGUCGAACGGCAGCACAGGAGAGCUUGCUCUCUGGGUGGCAAGUGGCGGACGGGUGAGGAAUACAUCGGAAUCUACUCUGUCGUGGGGGAUAACGUAGGGAAACUUACGCUAAUACCGCAUACGACCUACGGGUGAAAGCAGGGGACCUUCGGGCCUUGCGCGAUUGAAUGAGCCGAUGUCGGAUUAGCUAGUUGGCGGGGUAAAGGCCCACCAAGGCGACGAUCCGUAGCGGGUCUGAGACAAUGAGCAGCCACACUGGAACGGGGACACGGUCCAGACUCCUACGGGAGGCAGCAGUGGGGAAUAUUGGACAAUGGGCGCAAGCCUGAUCCAGCCAUACCGCGUGGGUGAAGAAGGCCUUCGGGUUGUAAAGCCCUUUUGUUGGGAAAGAAAUCCAGCUGGCUAAUACCCGGUUGGGAUGACGGUACCCAAAGAAUAAGCACCGGCUAACUUCGUGCCAGCAGCCGCCGUAA
rnacentral:rRNA from 1 species